GUGCGUGUGCGCAUCCCGCUGCUUCCCUUCUAGAAUUCGCCUAUCGCCGCUCUUUUUGGGGCUGCAUGCACGCGUGUGCACGUGCAUGUGUACUGACCUCUUCGUGGCGUCGAACGGGAAGCAAGAAAAGCAGACGGGGCGGGCGUGCGCGUGGCAUUCCUGCACUGCACGUAGUGCUACGCGGUCCCAUACAUUCGCACCCCCUCUCUCAGCGAAGCAGCAGCGAAAGCCAUGAGCACCGCCUCGCUGCUCUUCAGCUUGCUGCUGAACAUCACGAGCAGCAUCGGGGUCAUCAUUGUCAACAAGCGGUUCGUCUUUGUCGAGGCGCACUUCGAGUUUAGUACGGUUCUUACCAUCAUCCACUUUACCACGACAUUUCUGGGCUGCGUCUUCUUUGCGUACGGGGUCAAGCUGUUCACGCCGAAGAAGCUCUCGAUCCGCCGGGUGCUCCCCAUCAGCUGCGCCUUCUGCGGCUACGUCGUCUUCAACAACCUCUCUCUCCUAACCAACUCGGUAAGCGUGUAUCAGGUGCUGAAGAUUCUUUGCACGCCCAUGAUUGUUCUCGUUGAGCGGGUGCACUAUGGCAAGCGGGAGAAGCUGAGCACACUGCUGUCGCUGUUGCCCGUGUGCAUCGGCGUCGGCGUCACCUUCUACGCUGACACGGAUGUGAACUGGAUGGGCACGGUGUGGGCGUUUCUCGCCAUCAUCGCCAACUCCCUCUACACGAUCUGGGGCAAGACAAAGCAGGUGGAGCUGGGUGCGCAGCCGAUGCAGCUGCUCAUCUAUGAAACCCCCCUUAGCGCCGUCAUGCUCUUGCUCGUGGUGAUUCCGCUGGACGGCGGUGAGAAGCUGGCCGCGUACGAGGUCACCUUCAAGACGGUGUGGACGGUGCUGCUGUCUUGCAUCUUUGCCUUUGGCGUGAACUUCUCCUUCUUUCUCUUCGUAGGAAAGACGUCGCCGCUGACGAUGAACGUUGUUGGCUACUUGAAGACGUCGUUGGUGUUUGUGCUAGACUUCAUCUUUGUGUCAGCCAACAUGCCGCAGAAGAAGCUGAUCGGCAUCUCCCUCACACUUCUUGGGCUGGCGGGUACUCGUACUCGAAGAUCGAGUCGCCACUACCGCGCAGCCCCACGAUUUGGCGGAACUCGCGCCAGAGCUCUCCCUAUCAACGGCACAGAGGAGCUGAGGUGAAGGUGAUCUCGGUGUGAGCGCUCGUCGCCGCUCGUCGCCGCUCGAGCGGUCGGGCGGUUUUUUUCUGUCCUGGGGGUGCCUGAUACUCUCGGCGGAGCCUGUGCUGCGCCUCUGCUACUGCUGCACACCACUUUUUCGUCUCUUGCCCACAGGCUGCGCAGCGGCCACACGAAUGGAGAAGAGCGACUAGCGCAACUACUGCCAUGCAGCCGAAGGAAAUUUCGGCCCUUGCGCCCACGGAGCGCCCCGCCCUGUUCAAGACAAGACUUCAGCAAAAGCCAUCCGCAGAAGACAGUAAAGGUUACACGCUUGAUGUACUACUCGAUGCAAGCUCCAAACGUUCCCCCACGACCGUUGCGAGGAUGAACACCG
rnacentral:misc_RNA from 1 species